rnacentral:rRNA from 1 species
AUUGAACGCUGGCGGCAGGCCUAAUACAUGCAAGUCGAACGGAGUGGCGCACGGGGGGGUAAGGUAUAUCUAAUCUACCCUACGCUAGAGGAGCAAAACUAGAAACGGCUGCUAAUACUCCAUAGUGUAGGAUGGGGCUAUAGUGUAUCAGCUAGUUGGUGAGGGAAUGGCGCACCAAGGCUAUGACGCAUAACUGGUCUGUGAGGAUGAUCAGUCACACUGGAACUGAGACACGGUCCAGACUCCUACGGGAGGCAGCAGUAGGGAAUAGUGCUCAUGGGGGGAAACCCUGAAGCAGCAACGCCGCGUGGAGUAUGACACUUUUCGGAGCGUAAACUCCUUUUGUUAGGGAUGCGGUACCUAACGAAUAAGCACCGGCUAACUCCGUGCCAGCAGCCGCGGUAAUUC